rnacentral:rRNA from 1 species
AUGUUGGGUUUAACUAGGGUUUAUCAUCGCAGUUUGCUUCUCUUUUCAGUGUACUUUACAUGGUCAGCCAAGCAGCCAGCCCAAAUCUUGAUUGCAGUUCAGUGUUCAGUGUUUAGCUUCUUUUGCCCCUCACAGAGCAAAAUACAACAAGCCGUGUACCACUUCAAGUGUGUCUCCAAGCCGUGGCGCUACCUAAUCUCCGACCGCAACCACCGCAAGAGGCUGCCGCAGACCCUCGCCGGCUUCUUCUACGUUAGCGAGAGCUGGGACAACAACCGCCUCUGCCCAAUCUUCGAGCAACACUUCAGUAAUCUAUCGGGUUGCCAACCGCCGUUGGUCAAUCCCAUGCUCCCGUUCCUGCCCAACCAUGCUGACAUGAGCGUCUUGGACUGCUGCAAAGGCCUCCUCCUCCUCUGCCACCACAAGAGUACCUCUUCCCUGCGGCACUAUGAUUACUUCGUCUGCAAUCCCGCUACUGAGAAAUGGGUAGCCUUGCCGGACCUUGGGGUUGGGGACGAUGAUGAAUUCUUUCCCUACCCCUCCUGUCUGGUGUUUGACCCGGCCGUCUCCUCUCAUUUCCACGUCUUCUUGUAUCAGGAGGGGAUCGGCUCAACUGGCCAAGUGAGGAUCUACUCGUCCCGCACUGGUCGAUGGAUUAUCCGGGACAUGAGCUUGAAUCGCUGGAUUUGUCUACGUAGCACCGUCUACUUCAAUGGCCUGCUGUAUUUCCUUACCUAUGAGUAUGUGCUCGUGACCAUGGAUUUGGAGGCAAAGGAGUUGAAGGAGAUUAAGUUGCCCGAUGCUGGGGGAUCUACUUUUUUCCUGCUUGGACAGUCUCAGGGCUGCUUGUGGUAUGUCGCCAAAGAUGAAGAUGAGAAUAAAAUAUCAUUCUGGACUCUGGAAGAUGGUGCAUGGAGCUUCAACCAUAGUUUCCCCGGUUCAGACUGUCAACAUCCUGUUGCAUUUCACCCAGAUUGCAAUACCUUCUUCUUUACUAUGGGUUUGGAGAACAGGCUGAUGUCAUAUAAUAUUGAUCGUGGCAAAGCACGCUGUCUUUUCGUUCUCGGAUCAGGCCAUUUUGACUGGUUUCGUCCGUACGUGCCUUGCUUUUCAGACAUGUUAGCAGAUGAGGACUGA